rnacentral:rRNA from 1 species
AUUGAACGCUGGCGGCAGGCCUAACACAUGCAAGUCGAGCGGAUGAAGGGAGCUUGCUCCUGGAUUCAGCGGCGGACGGGUGAGUAAUGCCUAGGAAUCUGCCUGGUAGUGGGGGAUAACGUCCGGAAACGGGCGCUAAUACCGCAUACGUCCUGAGGGAGAAAGUGGGGGAUCUUCGGACCUCACGCUAUCAGAUGAGCCUAGGUCGGAUUAGCUAGCUGGUGGGGUAAAGGCCUACCAAGGCGACGAUCCGUAACUGGUCUGAGAGGAUGAUCAGUCACACUGGAACUGAGACACGGUCCAGGCUCCUACGGGAGGCAGCAGUGGGGAAUAUUGGACAAUGGGCGAAAGCCUGAUCCAGCCAUGCCGCGUGUGUGAAGAAGGUCUUCGGAUUGUAAAGCACUUUAAGUUGGGAGGAAGGGCAGUAAGUUAAUACCUUGCUGUUUUGACGUUACCAACAGAAUAAGCACCGGCUAACUUCGUG